UGUCUCCUCCAGUUUUUCUCCGAAAACCUGGAUUCAGCCCGCACCGCAAGGUUGCGGGCUUUUUUUU
rnacentral:ncRNA from 1 species